rnacentral:rRNA from 1 species
CCUACGGGGGGCAGCAGUGGGGGAUAUUGCACAAUGGGGGAAACCCUGAUGCAGCGACGCCGCGUGGGCGAAGAAGUAUUUCGGUAUGUAAAGCCCUAUCAGCAGGGAAGAAGAAAUGACGGUACCUGAGUAAGAAGCACCGGCUAAAUACGUGCCAGCAGCCGCGGUAAUACGUAUGGUGCAAGCGUUAUCCGGAUUUACUGGGUGUAAAGGGAGCGCAGGCGGCACGGCAAGCCUGAUGUGAAAGCCCGCGGCCCAACCGCGGGACUGCAUUGGGAACUACCGGGCUGGAGUGCCGGAGAGGUAGGCGGAAUUCCUAGUGUAGCGGUGAAAUGCGUAGAUAUUAGGAGGAACACCAGUGGCGAAGGCGGCCUACUGGACGGUGACUGACGCUGAGGCUCGAAAGCGUGGGGAGCAAACAGGAUUAGAUAC